rnacentral:lncRNA from 1 species
AAAAAGUGGGGCGGAGAAAAGCAGAGAAAGAAGACACAAAGAAAAAACAAAACCUCCAGAAACCUACUAUGUGAAGCAUAUGGCCAAAGUAAGUAAACUACCCUUGUGAGACACCAGGGAGACUGUACUACAAGACUUGGGACAGUCCGUGAGAGACGGGGGAAGCCAUUCUAAUUCUCUGCAGAAAAAUGUGCUUCUCUGACAGACAGCCACAGCUGGAGCUCAGGAAAAGGAACCACGGAGGUGUGCAGGCACCAGACCCAUCCACUUUCAGAGAUGUGCUCCAAAACUCUACAGGAAAGAAGCUGCCCAGAACUGCAGAAUAACGUACUACCAAUUUCAGCACACUCUUUCCUUGCUAUGUCAGGUGCACUCCUGAGCACUCUAAUGAGGAUAGCAUCAGUCUUCAGAAAAAUGAUACUCGAAAGGGAACAUUCCAA